UUCGCUCGGGCAGUUUGGGCCAUAGUUCAAGUAGCUUCGGAUCUAUAUCCACCACGUAGUGCAUGGAACAUGUUCGGCAAUUGGUUGCGGGAUAUUGAUAAACAAUUUUCUGCACAUAUUCUUGUGGGAGCGGCGGCCUUAUGCUGGGCACUGUGGCUUACCAGGAAUGAUGUGAUUUUUAAUAACAAAUGUGUCUCAUCUCCUAUGCAGGUUAUUCAUGUGUGUACACGAUGGCUCCGUACUUGGUCUAUCCUGCAGAGGCCGGAGGACAGAGACCUUUUUAUGAUGGCGUCUACACGGCUGGAGCGUACGGCCAGGAUGGUUUUCUACCCCCAUGGAUGGCGGUGUGACCUACGGAUAGGAUCGGCCACUCCGUAG
rnacentral:rRNA from 1 species